UUCAGGUUACAGCCUAUCAUUGUUGGGAAGUCAAGACAGAAGCUUGAAACAGCCAGCUCCUGUAUCAUUCCUGACCAUCCACUGGCCUCACUUCCUACAGGACAGAAGCUAAAUCUGUUUAUGUGUGCUGCUAUCUGACUUUUGCAAUCAAUAGCCACAGGACCAGGGGAAGGGGUAUAUCACCCCAGAGAAUAUGCCUUAGAGGAUCUACAACCCCAACAGAAGAACCCAGGACUACAAUGAGACGAUGCAAGGAAAUUCAGCCUUCAGCAUGAUGUACCAUGUGAAGUUCCUCAGCAGAACCUUCACAGUGUUCUGUCAUUUGUUCAGUCCUGCUUCAUUCCCGCCUGGGCCUCAAGUAACGACGAUUAGUGUAUAUCAUCAUGGUCAGCAGUUCUUGACCCUGGAUUGCAGGGGAUAAUAAAACCUGGCCCUUCUUCCAGCUUUCUCUGGCCUGACACUGAAGAUUUUUGGAACAGACUGAAAGAAUUUGUUAGGUUGUUAGAAAUUCCUAACCUGAGAUGAAGGAAAACGAUGACCCUACAUUUCCUACCUGAAACAAUUCUUCAGGGCUGUUGUUUCAGGAGCUCACAUCUGUAUGUAAGCAUAUUCGUACAACAUGCACA